rnacentral:rRNA from 2 species
CCCGCACAAGCGGUGGAGCAUGUGGUUUAAUUCGAAGCAACGCGAAGAACCUUACCAACUCUUGACAUCCCCCUGACCGGUACAGAGAUGUACCUUCCCCUUCCGGGGCAGGGUGACAGGUGGUGCAUGGUUGUCGUCAGCUCGUGUCGUGAGAUGUUGGGUUAAGUCCCGCAACGAGCGCAACCCUUGUCCUUAGUUGCCAGCAUUAAGUUGGGCACUCUAAGGAAGACUGCCGGUGACAAACCGGAGGAAGGUGGGGAUGACGUCAAAUCAUCAUGCCCCUUAUGAGUUGGGCUACACACGUGCUACAAUGGACGGUACAAAGGGCAGCGAAGCCGCGAGGUGGAGCCAAUCCCAGAAAGCCGUUCUCAGUUCGGAUUGCAGGCUGCAACUCGCCUGCAUGAAGUCGGAAUCGCUAGUAAUCGCAGGUCAGCAUACUGCGGUGAAUACGUUCCCGGGUCUUGUACACACCGCCCGUCACACCACGAGAGUUUGUAACACCCGAAGUCGGUGAGGUAACCUUUUUGGAGCCAGCCGCCGAAGGUGGGACAGAUGAUUGGGGUGAAGUCGUAACAAGGUAGCCGUAUCGGAAGGUGCGGCUGGAUCACCUCCUUUCUAAGGAA